rnacentral:rRNA from 1 species
UGGGGAAUAUUGGGGCAAAUGGGGCGCAAGCCUGACCCAGCAACGCCGCGUGAAGGAAGAAGGCUUUCGGGUUGUAAACUUCUUUUAAGAGGGAAGAGCAGAAGACGGUACCUCUAGAAUAAGCCACGGCUAACUACGUGCCAGCAGCCGCGGUAAUACGUAGGUGGCAAGCGUUGUCCGGAUUUACUGGGUGUAAAGGGCGUGCAGCCGGGUCUGCAAGUCAGAUGUGAAAUCCAUGGGCUCAACCCAUGAACUGCAUUUGAAACUGUAGAUCUUGAGUGUCGGAGGGGCAAUCGGAAUUCCUAGUGUAGC